UACGUAGGGAGCGAGCGUUGUUCGGAGUUAUUGGGCGUAAAGAGUGCGUAGGCGGUUUUCUAAGUUUGGUGUGAAAUCUCCCGGCUUAACUGGGAGGGUGCGCCGAAGACUGGAAGGCUUGAGUAUGGGAGAGGUAAGCGGAAUUCCUGGUGUAGCGGUGAAAUGCGUAGAUAUCAGGAGGAACACCUGCGGUGUAGACGGCUUACUGGACCAUAACUGACGCUGAGGCACGAAAGCGUGGGUAGCAAACAGG
rnacentral:rRNA from 1 species